rnacentral:lncRNA from 1 species
UCUUUUCAAAAAGAACAUUGUUCAAUUCUUCUAACGCGCAUAACAAACUAGUGUUUAAGCCUUCGUCGAGAGUAGGCAAGCCAAUAUUUAUCCUUUAGAAUGCGAUCUAAACAGUUGUUCAUUAAAAGACACCAAAAAAGCGUAGCUCCCCGAACUAUGAAUGCUCUUAUUUCCUUAUUGCACUAAAGUAUACGUAGGCACGAGAUUACGAGAUCUUGGUGAGCAACUAAUAAAAAAACCUCCCUUUUU